rnacentral:rRNA from 1 species
CCUACGGGUGGCUGCAGUGAGGAAUAUUGGUCAAUGGGCGGGAGCCUGAACCAGCCAAGUCGCGUGAGGGAAGACGGUCCUAUGGAUUGUAAACCUCUUUAGGCGGGGAGCAAUGCCGGGCACGCGUGCCCGGAGGGAGAGUACCCGCAGAAUAAGCAUCGGCAAACCCCGUGCCGCCGCCGGCGGAAGUCGGAGGAUGCCGGCGUUAAUCGGGUUUAUUGGGUUUAAAGGGGUCGUAGGCGGAAUUUUAAGUCAGCGGUAAAAUUGACGGGCUCAACCCGGGCCGGCCGUUGAAACUGGGGAUCUUGAGUGGGCGAGAAGUAUGCGGAAUGCGUGGUGUAGCGGUGAAAUGCAUAGAUAGCACGCAGAACUCCGAUUGCGAAGGCAGCAUACCGGCGCCCGACUGACGCUGAGGCACGAAAGCGUGGGGAUCGAACAGGAUUAGAUACCCCAGUAGUC